rnacentral:rRNA from 1 species
AGUGUAGUUAAUAGCUGCAUUAUUUGACGUUAGCGACAGAAGAAGCACCGGCUAACUCCGUGCCAGCAGCCGCGGUAAUACGGAGGGUGCGAGCGUUAAUCGGAAUUACUGGGCGUAAAGCGCAUGCAGGUGGUUUGUUAAGUCAGAUGUGAAAGCCCGGGGCUCAACCUCGGAAUUGCAUUUGAAACUGGCAGACUAGAGUACUGUAGAGGGGGGUAGAAUUUCAGGUGUAGCGGUGAAAUGCGUAGAGAUCUGAAGGAAUACCGGUGGCGAAGGCGGCCCCCUGGACAGAUACUGACACUCAGAUGCGAAAGCGUGGGGAGCAAACAGGAUUAGAUACCCUGGUAGUCCACGCCGUAAACGAUGUCUACUUGGAGGUUGUGGCCUUGAGCCGUGGCUUUCGGAGCUAACGCGUUAAGUAGACCGCCUGGGGAGUACGGUCGCAAGAUUAAAACUCAAAUGAAUUGACGGGGGCCCGCACAAGCGGUGGAGCAUGUGGUUUAAUUCGAUGCAACGCGAAGAACCUUACCUAC